UUUCACAGUGAUGUCUGACCAGGGCCCCUGGCCUCUGCUAUGGAGGUGACGGCCAGUCCCGGUGUCUGAGUGAUU
ensembl:snoRNA small nucleolar RNA SNORD86